UCAUGUACGAGUCGAUAUUUCCCAUUUGGUUUCUUUACAGGCAGAAUGGGGGUGUUAAAGGGUGACAUACAAGGCUCUAAGAUUCCUUGUGCUAACAAUCGAUCAAUUUCUGGUUUUAAUCCCCUCCGUCCUUCUAGGGAUAUGGGAUAUUGCCUUACCCUCACAGGUAUGUGGGGUUCGGAAAGUUGGAUUUUAAUCGGUGGGAUUUUCAGUCUACUAAUUGUGUCCGGAGAGUACCAGACAUCGGGGUUAAUUUGUUUUUGAUCAUCCACGGUUAAAGGAUAAGCAGACACUGUUAGCUCCUGAUUUUUCACUUUAAUUUCUAAUUGCAAUUCAACAAUUAAAUCUCGUCCUAACAGAUUAAAUUCUGCUUCAGGGAUGAGCAAGAGUUCACCCAUUCCAAAUUUAUUUUCAGUUUCGAAUACCACAUUUUUGAUUUUGCUUACUUUAAAGGGUUCUCCUUUUGCCCCAAUUACUUGUACCUUUUCAGGGGAAACUUUACAUCCCUUAGGUAUUUGCUUAAUAGUUGAUUUCUCAGCCCCAGUGUCUACUAAAAAGGUGAACUCUUGUUUAUGGGGACCUAUUUUUAAUUUUAUCAAGGGCUCAUGAUGACUCCAGUCCCCUAAGAUAUAGAGCCCCUGACUCUCCUAUUCCAGAGUCAGGGGCUCUAUAUCUUAGGGGACCGGAGUCAUCAUGAGCCCUUGAUAAAAUUAAAAAUAGGUCCCCAUAAACAAGAGUUCACCUUUUUAGUAGACACUGGGGCUGAGAAAUCAACUAUUAAGCAAAUACCUGAGGGAUGUAAAGUUUCCCCUGAAAAGGUACAAGUAAUUGGGGCAAAAGGAGAACCCUUUAAAGUAAGCAAAAUCAAAAAUGUGGUAUUCGAAACUGAAAAUAAAUUUGGAAUGGGUGAACUCUUGCUCAUCCCUGAAGCAGAAUUUAAUCUGUUAGGACGAGAUUUAAUUGUUGAAUUGCAAUUAGAAAUUAAAGUGAAAAAUCAGGAGCUAACAGUGUCUGCUUAUCCUUUAACCGUGGAUGAUCAAAAACAAAUUAACCCCGAUGUCUGGUACUCUCCGGACACAAUUAGUAGACUGAAAAUCCCACCGAUUAAAAUCCAACUUUCCGAACCCCACAUACCUGUGAGGGUAAGGCAAUAUCCCAUAUCCCUAGAAGGACGGAGGGGAUUAAAACCAGAAAUUGAUCGAUUGUUAGCACAAG
rnacentral:lncRNA from 1 species